rnacentral:rRNA from 1 species
UACGUAGGGUGCAAGCAUUAAUCGGAAUUACUGGGCGUAAAGGGCGCGUAGGCGGCACGGCAAGUCAGGAGUGAAAGGCCUGGGCUCAACCGAGGAACUGCUUUUGAGACUGCCGAGCUAGAGUGCAGAAGGGGCAACUGGAAUUCCCAGUGUAGCGGUGAAAUGCGUAGAUAUUGGGAAGAACACCUGAGGCGAAGGCGGGUUGCUGGGCUGACACUGACGCUGAGGCGCGAAAGCCAGGGGAGCAAACGGG